CUAAUACACUUCCCUCAUUGUAAUUCUAUUGCAAACCUGAUGUCUAGCAAAUAUAAAAAUAAUAGUAAUGCUACUAUUUUGAAUAAUUAUGCAUGGUAAUAAAUUUGUAUGAUAGAUUAUAAAGAUAAUAUAAAUUAGAUUACCAUAGAAGAAAGGCACCAGUAAACUAUGAAAAAUGAAGCUGACAUAAAACUUUAUUCUUAAUCUUUCCCAAGGUUUAGGGGUCAUUUAAAUAAAUGAACUACCCAAAAACCGUGUUUAAAGAUAAUUUAUUGUAUAUUAGAAACUUCAAAAAAGUCAUGUUCAUCAGUCUUAAUCACUAAGUCACUAGUUUUCAAAUAUAUUAUAGAUGGGCAUAGUACUAGCAAUCAACAUGGAAAGCACUGGAAAACAUUUGAGUCAUGCUGAAAUUUGAAUUUGGGGCAUAACAGAAUUAUUGUGAAGAAAUACUAGAGCCAAGCUUCUGUUAUAGACAAAAUGAUUAUAACUGAUUGUCUGAGAUCAAAAGAUAAUUCAAUCUUAAUAAUUUAAAUAAGUUGGCACAUAAUAUUUAGAAGAAACUUGAGGUAUCAAUUCUGUAUCUGCAGGAGUUCUUUUUAAAAAAUGUUCACAUACACCCCAAAUUAAAAUCACUUAGCUACCAAAUGAAAUUUAAAGUUACUCCCUGGGGUCAAUCAAAUGGGAAAAGUAAAUCUGCUUACUUAACCAAAAAGGGUCAGUUGAAUUUAUACUUAUUUUAAAUGAUAAUGGAAGAGUUCUCUUUUGGCACAGUGAGUUCAAGGACCAGCCCUGUCACUGCAUCGGCUUGGUAUGGGUUUGAUCUUUGGCCUGGGAACACUAUAUUACUUGCCAGCCAGAUUGGAGCUACCAGCUGAGGAAAGAAGGAUUAUACCAAAAUGGGUGCAUAGGCUUCUAUUUGCAAUAAAGUGGAUCACUGUUACACGAUAACAACCAUUCAUUCCGCUGCAUUUCCAGCAUAAAGAAAAAUCUAGAAAUACAUCAGGUUGCAUGGGAAUUACCUUUUAGAAACCUUUCUUAGAAACAUAGCUUUCUAAGAAAGGUAUGUUCUCAUUAUUAAGUUACUUCUCAUUUUUUUUGACAUUGUUUUGUAGAUUAGUUGCAAUUGCUUUUCAGUGAUCUAAACCUGAAAUCACUUAUUGUUGACUGGGAAACUGUUAUCUGUCAAUAGAUGUGUCAUUAUCUUUGCAUUUACUCAGAUAUUUACAUUUACUCCUUUAUAUAUAGCUUACAUUAACUGAAAUAUACUAUGAUGCUUCUGGACCUCAUUCCCGAGGCAGAAAUGUCCAUUGUUUUUGUCAUAGAUUAUUCUCCAAGUGGCCAAGUAUAAUUGCAUUGUUAUAUUGGCAAAUGACUCCAUAGAACUAAGUAUAAGAUUUCACUGCACACUUUCAGUUUUGGGGAAAAAAAGUCCAAGUUAAUAGAAACAUGAUUAGAAACAGAAGGUAUCUUGGCUCUCAAUUUGGUUAAUAAAAAAAUUUUAAAAGGCAUAAACCUUUUACAGUUUUCCACCAAUACCUUGAAUUAAACUCCUUUUUUUAAAUCUUUUUUUAAAAUUGAAGUAUAGUUCAUUUACAAUGUUGUGUUAGUUUCAGGAGUACAGCAAUAUGAUUCAGUUAUGCUUAGAUAUAUACAUACCUAUUUUUGGUGAGCUCCAAAUAGAACAAAUUUUCUAGAAGAACAUGUUAAAUUAAUGGUUCUCCAAGAGCAUGACUGAAAAGUAUGCUGACCCUGUGCUUAUCAGUGCCUUUUGUGGUCAGUAGUGAUUUUUAAAGGAUGAUAAAGCUGUUAUUUUGACAUCAUACAGUUGUUCCCAAUCCCCUACAUUUCUCAACCAGAGAAUUUUGAAUUAACUCCUUGAAUACUGUGUUGCAUACUCACCAACAACUCAUUUCAUGAUUGGAAUUUAUUCUCCCAGCCUCUAUAUGAAAUGACUUUAGGGAGUUAUAUAAAUAUGUUGAAGAUCUUCAGAAGGAAGCCCAUUCCGAUUAGCUAAAAUCCAAAAAUCUUAAAGGACUAAGAAUAUCAUAUGCUUCCAGGUUUUCUGAACUUGCAUGAUCAUGAGUUCCCUGGAUCACUUGUUACACUAUAGAUUCCCAUGGCCCUUCUCAAGCAGUUUUGUCUACAGAAACCUGGGAUAGGGACUAAGAAUAUCAAAUCCAACUUUAUGUAUUUGAGGCAAUUGGAAGUAAAAAAAAAAAAAAAUUCAAGAGUUUGGGAUAAGAUUAACUUGCUUUUGAGUACUCAGCAAGUUGAUGACAUAAAUCUAAAUGGAACCCAAUCCUCUCUCUCACCUCAUCCUGUUUCUGUUUUUGUGUGCGAUUAGGGUAUUUUGGUUCAAAAUAGGUUUCCUUUUUUUAAAAGACAAGUUAGCUAGGCAUAGCAUGUGUCUGAAGUGAUGCGUUUGAUUGACAAUGGAUAAAAAUAGUUGUUUUCUGUUGCCUAGAAGUGCAUGGUAAAGAGAGCAUAAACCUGGAAAGGACCCCAAGGUUUCUAGUUUAGCAUACCACUUGCUAGCAAGCACUACCCCUAAUGUCUCUUAGAUGGAGGAUUUAUUAAUUUCUCAAGGAAAGGCAUUUUUUUAACUGCCCCUGUUAAUCUAUCCCAGUGCUUAGUAUAGAAAUAAUCAUAAUUCGCACAAUUUUCAUAGUUAUCAUGUGCGUCCCUUUCCUUUCUUUUUCCUUGUUAGAAACAAAAUAUGGCAUUUUAAACUUAUUUGAAUAUUCCUCCAAUUCAUAAAGCAAUUACAUUGAACAAUAUAUAUACAUAUAGAUAACGUUUGUUAUUACAGAGAGAUGAAUAUUAACUUCUUAAAAAGCAAACACAAGCUGAAGAUGUACAGUAGUGGUUCAUACCUUUUUUUGAAACAAGAACUCCUGAAGUUCUAAGAAAAGAAAUCUGCCUAGAAACAUGUAACAUAUGCAUAUAACCCCAAAAUUUGUACAGGCUUUCAAGAAGUCAGGGACCCUGGCUUAAUAAACACAAAUGUGGUAGGAAGAAACCAUCCCUGAAAUACUAGAGUUUAGUACAUUUCCUCAUACAUUAAAAAGGCAAAUCAAAGCUCACAUAGUAUAAAGCUCUAAUUCAUUAAUAUUAUUUUAAAAAUCAGAAGAUAAAAUUGAACUAUACUGAUCAUGUAAUUAUACUGUUAAUCUCUGUAGCGUGAAAGUGAAUGUUAUAUUUCACCUGAAAAUAAGCACAAACUGAUUUUUAUUUUUCUUUAGUUUUUAACAAGGUUGAGCAAUGAACUCAUAUUUUCUAAUACUCUUGUGUAGAAUAUUCAUCUACAGGGGAAAAAAAAGGAGUGAUUAUCCUUAACUACAACGGGAGUUAGUGAUAAGACCAUCCCAUUGACUUCAUAAGAUUGUUCUUUGAAGGACUCAAAUACCCAAAUAUAAUGAUAGAGAAGCAUGAAUAGGAAGGAGAUGACUGUAUUGAAGUGAAAAACGUGGAGUUCCUGUUGUGGCUCAGCAGUUAAUGAAACUAACUAGUAUUCAUGAGGAUGCAGGUUCGAUCCCUGGCCAUGCUCAGUGGGUUAAGGAUCUGGCACUGCCCUGAGCUGUGGUGUAGGUCGCAGACGCAGCUCGCAUCCCACGUUGCUGUGACUGUGGCAUAGGCUGGCAGCUAUAGCUCAGAUUUGACCCCUAGCCUGGGAACUUCCAUGUGCUGCAAGUGCAGCCCUAAAAAGGCAAAAACAAGCAAACAAACAAAAACAAACCUUGCAUUAGCCCAUGUCUAGGGAUUAUGCACAUUACACCUCGUGUUUGCUUCCAUCUGCCAUUUCCUUCUUGGAUCACCUAUUUCUAAAAGAAUUCAUGUUUCAAAGCAACCCCAAUACUUCUUGACUUGAUCUUUUACUAAGAGAAUUAAAUCCAAGUCAAAUACCCAUGGUAAGGGGAAAUCUUUAUAGGCAUGCUUUAAUUCACAAAAUUGACAUAUUUAUGAAACUUUCUAGUCAUGAGAAAAGCACUUCAGUCACUUCAGUCAUGAGAAAAGCAUACAACUUUAAGACAUCUUAUGAAUAAUCAUUUCAUAAAAUGGAAAAUGUUUACUGUCCCCACCCUUCUCUCACCAUUGUGUUUUUCUCUUCUGUAAUACUGAGCAACUAAUUUUCUCACAACACCAUUUCCCCAUUGACAGGAUUCUAUUGGGCUGCACAGUGAAAUCUCUACCUUCCACAGCUGCAUCAAGUUGCCUCCUUUCCCUGCUGUUUAAGCAUUCUACUCUUGGCAAGAAUUUUCCUUAAGAGUUCAAUCUCUGUAGAUCUUCUUCAUGCGUGGUAUCUAGGAUAUGUGUUGAGUGUUCUUAAAAAGCUUGUGCAUAUAAUACAUCAAACUAGAAUUGCUAUAGUGAUAGAAGCUCAAUAGGAAAAAUCCACCCUGCCCACCAUCAUGAAGCCUCUCUCACUUCCUAUUUUAUCAUUCCCAUGAGAUAUGAAGUCUUACAAUCUUCUACCCCCUUUAAUCAAAUUCCAUUAUCAUGAAUAAAUAUUUAUUA
rnacentral:lncRNA from 1 species